GAUUAACGCUGGCGGCGUGCCUAACACAUGCAAGUCGAGCGGCAGCGAGUUUUCCACUGAAUUCUGGAAGCUUCUAGUUGCAAGAGAAGAUUUAUUCAAGAAUUUUGUGUAAAAUGUCGGCGAGCGGCGGACGGCUGAGUAACGCGUGGGAACGUACCCCAAAGUGAGGGAUAACGCAUCGAAAGGUGUGCUAAUACCGCAUAUGGUCUUCGGAUUAAAGCCUUCGGGCGCUUUGGGAACGGCCUGCGUAAGAUUAGAUAGUUGGUGGGGUAAUGGCCUACCAAGUCGACGAUCUUUAACUGGUUUGAGAGGAUGAUCAGUCAGACUGGAACUGAGACACGGUCCAGACUCCUACGGGAAGCAGCAGUGAGGAAUCUUCCACAAUGGGCGAAAGCCUGAUGGAGCAACGCCGCGUGCAGGAUGAAGGCCUUCGGGUUGUAAACUGCUUUUAUAAGUGAGGAUUAUGACAGUAACUUAUGAAUAAGGAUCGGCUAACUACGUG
rnacentral:rRNA from 1 species